rnacentral:rRNA from 1 species
GACGAACGCUUGCGGCGUGCUUAACACAUGCAAGUCGAGCGGUAAGGCCCUUUCGGGGGUACACGAGCGGCGAACGGGUGAGUAACACGUGGGUGACCUGCCCUCAGCUCUGGGAUAAGCCUGGGAAACCGGGUCUAAUACUGGAUAUGACUCCAUGACGCAUGUUGUGGGGUGGAAAGCCUUGUGCGGCUGAGGAUGGGCCCGCGGCCUAUCAGCUUGUUGGUGGGGUGANGGCCUACCAAGGCGACGACGGGUAGCCGGCCUGAGAGGGCGACCGGCCACACUGGGACUGAGACACGGCCCAGACUCCUACGGGAGGCAGCAGUGGGGAAUCUUGCGCAAUGGGCGAAAGCCUGACGCAGCGACGCCGCGUGAGGGAUGACGGCCUCGGUUGUAA